rnacentral:misc_RNA from 1 species
AGUGACAGGACUGGACAUACGAAAGUGGACAAAAAUAAUGGGCAGAAAACGAUCGAGAUACAGAAGUAAUGUCUAUUAGAUUGAAGUAACAGGAUUUUAUCUUAUCUAAAGCACUAGCAUACAAAUCAAAAGAGCAAUUCCACUUUGUGCACCAGAAAGAAACACAGCAAAAUUUCCUCAGGAACCAUUUCCUACUCGCCAUCUGCUAGGUUAAUCACUCGUGUUAAGGGGUGGGUUACGUAGAUAAAUUCAUCUUACAAUCAUACCCUACCAUUCCUAGUUCUACCAAAACAAACCCAACUUCCAUUGCUGUGCCUAGCUGAGAAUAAAGCGGCAGUGAAGAAAACUUGGGUUAGAAGUGAUGAGCAUGGCAGUCCCUCCAAAGUCGCAAGUACCCCCAUUUCUCUUAGUCUUCUGAAAGUAGCUGUUGAAAGCGUAAGAAGCAUGAGCAACAACAGUAUCAGGAUAGAAACAGCUACCAUGAGGCAUAAUCCCUGUACAAUCAGCACCACCAUCACCACAAGCGUAGUCCAUUGCCUCCUGCAAUGUCUCUGCAGGAACACUAGGUUUAGCCACACACCAGAGCUCCUGCACAAUCCCUGCCAUUGGUGCUGGUGAUAUUGUGUUGGCUGGAUUACAGGGAGGCAAUGAGUAACCAUAUGGUGCUGUGGAUGGACCAGUGAGGGGAGGCUGUUCCGGUGCAAAAGGGAAGUCCAUUGGGGCCGGAGCAGAAAGAGGGUAGGAUAGCGGUGGUGGAGAGGCACGAGGGAAGGACAAUGGGGGAUGAGGAUUCUUGGCUACAUUGGAAGGGACGGAGGAUCCAACUGAGGAGUGGAGUGGGGGUUGUGACGAUUCUGGUAAUGAUGGUAUUGCAGGGUAUGAGUUCACAAUCUUGGAUUCAAUGGUUGAGAGUUUCCUGUUCUUGGGUACAUCCUGUUUUGGGUCAGUAACCAUCACAUUGAUUUUGUUAAGGACAACAGAUCCAAGAUUUUGUAGUAAUUCUGAGCUAGAAGACACCAAUCUCACAGUUUCAACUGAUGAAGGAGAGAUAUUUGGAGGCAGUUUUAUAGAGUAAGUGGAGUUUAUACUAUAGAGAAACUGUAUCAGAGGCUUUGUAACUUUCUCAGCCAAAUCAUGAGCGGAAAGUGCAGAAUCCGACUCAAAACAGUUAGAAGAAAAGGCAGCAGAAACUUUGAUCUCUCUAUCCAAACCCCACCUAGUAAGGGAGUAAUAGAUAUUCUUAAGAGAUGGUAGAACC